CUAUGGCCAUCCCACCCUGAACAUGCCUGAUCACCUCUGAUUUCAAAGGCUAAGCAGGGUCAGGCCUGGUUAGUAGGGUCAGGCCUGGUGAGUAGUUGGCGGGGAGACCUCUCUUGGGAAUACUAGAGGCUGUAGCUC
rnacentral:rRNA from 1 species